CUACGGGGCGCAGCAGUGAGGAAUAUUGCACAAUGGGGGGAACCCUAAUGCAGCAACGCCGCGUGGAGGAUGACGCAUUUCGGUGUGUAAACUCCUUUUAUAUGUCAAGAAAAUGACGGUAGCAUAUGAAUAAGCACCGGCUAACUCCGUGCCAGCAGCCGCGGUAAUACGGAGGGUGCAAGCGUUACUCGGAAUCACUGGGCGUAAAGGACGCGUAGGCGGGUUGGAAAGUCAGGUGUGAAAUCCUACAGCUUAACUGUAGAACUGCACUUGAAACUUCUAAUCUAGAGUAUGGGAGGGGGAGAUGGAAUUAGUGGUGUAGGGGUAAAAUCCGUAGAUAUCACUAGGAAUACCUAAAGCGAAGGCGAUCUCCUGGAACAUUACUGACGCUAAGGCGUGAAAGCGUGGGGAGCAAACAGGAUUAGAUACCCUUUAGUC
rnacentral:rRNA from 1 species